GACAGAGGGUGCAAACGUUGCUCGGAAUCACUGGGCGUAAAGGGUGACGUAGGCGGGUCGUUUAAGUCAGGGGUGAAAUCCUGGAGCUCAACUCCAGAACUGCCUUUGAUACUGAAGAUCUUGAGUUCGGGAGAGGUGAGUGGAACUGCGAGUGUAGAGGUGAAAUUCGUAGAUAUUCGCAAGAACACCAGUGGCGAAGGCGGCUCACUGGCCCGAUACUGACGCUGAGGCACGAAAGCGUGGGGAGCAAACAGG
rnacentral:rRNA from 1 species